UCUUAUGUAUACUUUGUUGUCCAGGUCAUUAGAGGAUUGGAUCAAGGAAUUUAUGGGGGUGAUGGUGUGCCUCCAAUGCAAGUAGGGGGAAAACGUAAGCUCCACAUUCCUUCACAUUUAGCAUAUGGACCAGAACCUGCAGGAUGCUUCUCAGGUGACUGCAAUAUACCGGGCAAUGCUACUCUUGUCUACGAUAUUAAUUUUGUUGGUAUCUACUCGGGAAAUAGGCCAUUGCCAGCAAAUAGAUAGGGAACCCAGAUCAAGUGCAUCUCCUGACUUUCCUGAAACUCAAAGCUUCCACUGUUAAAUACAAGUUGAGACAGGACUCCUCAAGCAUGCAUAUAUGAGAGCACCUUCUUUUUGUACGCUUGGCUUGCUAACCGGAGAUCUAUCCCUGAAUAAAGUCGGUAUAGCUCCCGCCUAUUUCAUUCUACGUUCUACCUUACAUUUUUUAUGUAUAUAGCAUUACCUCUAUGGAACAUAUGAAAAUUCCUAUUAAUGAACAUACUUAUCUUAUGUAAUUUAAACACUUUGAAAAAAACUACUUGUCCCUGAUUUGAAUGCU